UUUUGGAAUUGUCUUCAGUUAUUUACAUGUUAUGCCAUGAUAGCAGUAAAUCAGGAAUCUGAGCUCCGGACAAGUGUAGCACCUCUUGUUGAGCUGCUUGAUGCAAUUUCAAUGUGAAAGUCCCCUUUAGGGAUUGAAUGUAUUUUUGGUCUCAAACAUUCAAAGUAUGAACAGAACUAAAGCUCUUUCUCCUUCCCUCCCUCCUUCUCCCCAUCACUCUCUCUCCCUCCCUCCUUCUCCAGAUCACUUUCUCUCUCUCUCUCUCUCUCUCUCUCUCUGAAUCUCUAUCCCUCCCUGUGUUCUAUCCUUUCCUUCCCUCAGUUUCCUCAGAUGUUCCUCUGGUUGCUGUAGUUGUUGUCUCUGUCAGUCUGUUGGCUGCUGCAUUGAUGAUAAUUGUGAUGAUAUGAAAGAAAAGGACAAGUGAGUGUGUAACAUGCAACACUAUGAACAACUAGCACCUUUAUGGUGACAAUAACUUUAUGGUGACAAUACUAUAGUUCCAAAUUCAUCAUUUAAUCUUGUUCAUAUUUCAGAUGCUGGAGGAGAGCCAAGAGACAAAUCAACUCAAAGCAGGAGCAGUGCCAUAGUCACGCAGUCUGUUCAGCCACCAAACUCCUCAGCUAAUAUGGAGGAAGGAGCUGACCUGCACUAUGCAGCCUUUCAGCACCUCAACCCAACCCAAGCUGGGCCUUCUGCAAAGCAGUCUGAGGACACCGUGACCUACAGCACCCUCAUGCAGUUAUCUGGUGGUCAAGACCAGAACAGCAGCAGACCUGCUGGCAGACCAGCGGACCCCAAUACUAUGUAUGCUACUGUUCAGAAGAAUAACAAGAUACAGAAUUAACAGUUGUAUGAAUACGCAUACACGUACACAAGCACGCAAACACACAUACUUAAACACACACAAACAGACACACACAGACAUACACACACACAUGUAUGCAGUCAUAAAAGCACCCAGUGAGACUGUAUGCUUAUUCUACAGUUGCUUGUGGUUGCAUGUAGUUGUAUGAAAGCUCUCUCACAGCUCUUGCUCUGGUUAGCACUCCUGACCCUUUUAGACUGGGGGUGUGAAAUGUGUGCCUAUUUUUCUUCCACAA